rnacentral:rRNA from 1 species
ACCAGACUCCUACGGGAGGCAGCAGUGAGGAAUAUUGGUCAAUGGGCGGGAGCCUGAACCAGCCAAGUCGCGUGAGGGAAGACUGCCCUAUGGGUUGUAAACCUCUUUUGUCAGGGAGCAACGCCGGCUACGUGUAGCCGGACUGAGAGUACCUGAAGAAAAAGCAUCGGCUAACUACGUGCCAGCAGCCGCGGUAAUACGUAGGGGGCAAGCGUUAUCCGGAUUUACUGGGUGUAAAGGGAGCGUAGACGGUCCUGCAAGCCAGAUGUGAAAGCCCGGGGCUCAACCCCGGGACUGCAUUUGGAACUGUAAGGCUAGAGUACGGGAGGGGCAGGCGGAAUUCCUAGUGUAGCGGUGAAAUGCGUAGAUAUUAGGAGGAACACCGGCGGCGAAGGCGGCCUGCUGGACCGAAACUGACGUUGAGGCUCGAAAGCGUGGGGAGCAAACAGGAUUAGAUACCCGAGUAA